ACCACAAAUCCGCCACCCUCCACUUCUCCUCUUUCGUCUCUUCUUCACAGCUCCAUCCUCACCCACCAUCACCCCUAGCCACCAUCCACCCUUCUCCCCCCUCUAACUCCCUAAAAACUGCCUCCUUUCCCCUGUAAUCCAACACCACCAACCCCUUUCAAACUCCCCUACCGCGCCACCCACCCUUUCUGUUGUCACACACCUACUCUGGUUUCGCCCAAUUUCAAAUUCUAGGUCAGAUUUUGAAUUUUUUAUUUCAACAAUUCGAUUUUGGUUGAAGCCUAAUUUGAUUGCAUACCAUGUGGUUAUGUGCUUUGAGUUGUUGUAUGCCCUUGGAUUGGUGGUUUGUGCUAGUACUUUGUUGGAUUCAGUAAUGAUUCAUGGUUGAUGAGAUUGGAAUUUGUUCGAACUUGUUACCUUAUUUCUUUUGUUGGGACGCAAAUCUUUUAAGUGUAUGGUGGAAAGUUUCAUUUGUGCUCAUUACUUGAUGUGUUGAAUUGUUUUCUGUUAUGGUCAAAUUUCGGAUUACAUGAUGAAUGAUGCUUACUUGAAUAUUAGAAGUGCUAGUUUGGAUGGUUGUUCAUGCUUGGAUUGUCUAGCUUAGCAAUGUGAUUUUUGGUGGAUAUUGGGAAGUGGUAAAAUAGUCACUUUUAUUUGGAAUGAAUGAUGUUCAUAAUUGAAUCAUUUUGAUGGAAUUUGGAAUUGCAUCAUUGUACUUACAUGCAUGUUGGUACCUAGAGUGUUGCUAGGUCAUAUGAUGAUUCCAUUUGAUGAAUUGAUAUUGUAUUUAUGCUCAUUUUCUUCCAUUCCUCAUAUUUUCUUAUGCCAUUACUCUUGAUUAUUCAUUUCUUGCUCCUUCAUGGUUAAUUGUUUAAAGAAGCAUACUUUGUCACUUGAUGCUUUGCAUACACUCUUUAUGCUCAUUCUUGUUCAUUGGACUUUCUAUAACUUUAUGAUGAUUUCUUCAUUAAAAUUGAUGCUAAAUGAGUUAAGAUUGUUCCAUAACUUUUCCUCACCGUUGCCUUACUCAUUUAUGGAUUAUAGGAUGCUCUUAUUUAGGAUUAUAGUUAGUCUUGUUUGAGAAUAACUAGUUUUACAUAUUCUUUGCAUCUUGCCUAUGCCACAUCUACUUAUGAGCUAUUAUUGCAUAUCAUUUCCUAAGUAGUUUGGUUGCCUAUUAGUGAAUACUCUCACUCAUCCUACACUAUGUGCUUAUGUGUUCCCUUUGCUCAACUUGUGUGGCAUUUCUUGCUAAAAUAGUGCAUUGAGCUUGGAUGAUCAUCUGGUGUCAAUUAAUUUUUUGUUUUGGAUAAUCAUUAUUUUUUCAUUUUAAGAUGCCUCCUCCAAUGAAAUCUUAGACUACCAAGAAGAGGAAAGGGAAUUAUGCUUCCUCUUUUUUAGCUCCUCCUUCUUACACUCCUCCUGACCUUGUUAACCCUCACUCCAUCACAUCAACAAGAUACCUCUCACUUCACAGCUCUAGGAGGAGUGCUUUGAUAUUGUGCCGGGUUUCCCAAUGAAGAGGCUACCAUACUCUCCAACACCUCCUCAUUUCUCUUCAUAGGAGGUUGAUUCUUGAGGACCUCACGAGGAGGAAAUGCCUUGCCCCCGUUUCGCACCUACUAUCGUCAGUCUCAUGACUUUUGUAAGAUGAUGACGGUUUAUGAGUACUCUUACCCUCAUAUUGUGAGGGAGUUCUUGGCCACAUUGGACAUCGGUCACUACAUGAUCACUUUCCGGUUGGGAGGGAACUUGCACAUCAUCUCACUUGAUGAGUUUGGGGUACUACUAGGUUUUCACACACAGAAGGACAGGGAAAGUGGAGACCAUGAUAGACCUGCUACUGUUGCUAGCACCGAGAUCCCUGAUCAGCAGGACUUCUGGUAGAGUAUAGCCAAGAAUGGAAGCACAUUUGUUACUGGAAACUCGAAGGAAAUCCAGCUUCCCAAGCCAAUAAUGCAGCUUGUUCACAUGUUUGCUCGCCAUAGCAUUUCCCAUCGCUCCUCCGCCAAUUCACCAAGUGCCAUCAGCAAGAGGGAUUUCUACAUAUUUUACUGCUUGGAGAAAGAGAUAGAUAUACAUUUGUGUGAUUUGGUGAUCAGCCUCUUCAAGAUUCUGAAGUCACAUUCAACUCACUUUAUGUUGUUUGGAGGUGGCUAUGUAAGUUGGCAAUUUGCAACACCGAGGUGUUGUAUCUCUUUGACACCCCUCCGGUCAAGCUCCAACCUUUCACUUUUCGAAUGACCGACUUAGAGUAGAAUGGGGUGGAUGACUUGUUAGUUGAUGAGAUUGACACGACGGCUCAGGUUCAGAGAGCAUCCAAAUUGCUUAUAUAUAUUCGUUGUAGACUACCUAGGAGUAGCUUGCCCUUCACCGGCACUAGGUGAUGAGAGCAUACAAAUUGAGGCUAUGAGAUCUCAAGAGCAUCGCCUGGCUUGCAAUGGCCACUUUGACUUCAUUUUUCGGGAGCAGCGAUCCACUCGGGAUUACCUCAAUGCACUCAGGGGAGAAACAACAAGCUCUUUCACCAUAAUGAGGACUAGGUUUGGAUCAUGAGGACUGAGACACACUGAAUACAGCUGACUCAAGACUGGUAGAAUGAGAAUAUGGUAUAUGACCAGGUCUUGCACUUAAUUGUGUGGUUUGGUAAAUGAAUGAUAUCUUUCACACUAUGAAGGACGCUUGAGUAGCUAGGCAUGUCAUUUUGAUCACCAUCUUUCGGUACCUUCUUUGUUUGAGUUGUAGAUUUUCUUAAGGAAACGCAAUUUUCAAGUGUGGCGUGGUUUGAUGUCACUCCAUAUUGUAGUGAUAAACACACUGGCCUUAACUACCAUUUCGAUUGAUUUGAUGUUUUCCGACUGGUUUUGAGUGAUAUAGUUGUGCUUGGAAGGGAUUUUGUGCUAUGUGUCUCAAACAAACCAUUAGGGUCCAUUUUACUUUUUUCAUUGAGUUUUCUCUAACGUUUUAGGUAUUCAUUAGAUAGAGGGUUCAAAGAUGAAGAUGGCGGUUCAAGUCGGAGGUCAAUCAGAGGUCGGACGAGCGAGAUAUGGGACCGAUACUGAUGAACAGUCACAUGCCUUUUGACAUAUGGAAUGAUCACAAGCCAUGUGAGCAAUUUGGAGAAGCGUAUUUAAGCCAUUUUGGAGGAGAGAGGCAACAUAACAACAUAUUCCACCACGAGUCCAAUUUUGAGCUCUCUCCCCACCCUUUUGGAACCCUAGAAGAGAAGAUUGACGAGCGAUUGAAGGUCGUGAAGCUUUCUUGGAUUGAGUGGAUCUUGGAGUCUAGAUUGAGGAGCAAGUAAUCAUGAUCACGAAGUCCCUCUUCCUUAGAUAUCAAGGAUGAUGAUUCUAACUUCUAUUUCUCCUCUUAGUUUUGACAUACUAGUCUAAAUCCUCUUGUUGUUCGAUUAGGGAUGAUGUUGGUGCAAGGAUAAUCGCCCCAUCUUGAGGGUUUGGACAAGAUUUGGAAGAUUUAUGGUAAUGGGG
rnacentral:lncRNA from 1 species